ensembl:lncRNA
GUAUAUAACCAGUGUAUAACCCAGUAUAUAACCAGUGUAUAACCAAGUAUAUAACCAGUGUAUAACCAAGUAUAUAACCAUGUAUAACCCAGUAUAUAACCAGUGUAUAACCCAGUAUAGAACCAGUGUAUAACCCAGUAUAGAACCAGUGUAUAACCCCGUAUAGAACCAGUGUAUAACCCAGUAUAUAACCCAGUAUGUAACCAGUGUAUAACCCAGUAUAUAACCAGUGUAUAACCCAGUAUAUAACCCAUGUAUAACCCAGUAUAUAACCAGUGUAUAACCAUGUAUAUAACCAGUGUAUAACCCAGUAUAUAACCCAGUAUAUAACCAGUGUAUAACCCAGUCUAUAACAAGUUUAUAACCCUGUAUAUAACCAGUGUAUAACCCAGUAUAUAACCAGUGUGUAACCCUGUAGAUAACCAGUCUAUAACCAAGUAAUAACCAGUGUAUAAUCCUGUAUAUAACUGGUAUAUAAUCAGAAAAACCUCUAUACUUGUUGUUGAUUGGUGGAUGUGUUUCAGAUCCUGGAUCUGUCGUCCAAUAGGAUCAUAGUUCUUCCUCCAAAAAUCAUCUACCCCCUCGAGGUCAUAGAGACGCUUUACCUAGAAAACAACAAGGUACCCACACACACACACACACACAUGCAAACACACACACACACGCGCGC